GCAGCCAGCCAUGCCGGUGACUCUCCCGGGCUCCUUAGGCGGAUCCCCUUCCACCUUGAAGCCAGAGCUGGAGGUCGGCAGCAGCAGCAGCAUUUGGUGGGCCCCACAGAACCCUGUGUGCAGACAACAAGGACUGUUCUUCCUGGCUCUGGCCCCACAAGUUGAAGACAUUAGGAACUUCUGAUGAAGAUGUAUCAUCUAGGGAGUCUGUCAAGUUUUCCAGUUUCCAGUCUUCAUUCAAGCUACAAGAAAGUUUUCAAGUCUUCAUUCAAGCUUUAAGAUUCCAGUGCAAAGUUUUCAGAUUUUCCAAGGACUGUGCAGAGGGGAUUACCUCUCCAUGAUGGAGGGUGGACUUUCAGCAAACUGGCACCAGCAGUUUCUCAUCAGUUUGUUUACAAUACCAGUGUUUGUACCAUUAUUCCUUUGGGAGUGCUUUUUUGCCAUUGAGGAGUUUGUAACAGUCUACACUGCUGUAUUUUUUCGCUGCUGAUUUCUGGAUGCCUUUAGUUUGAGAUUAUAUGUAGUAUUUCUUCA